rnacentral:rRNA from 1 species
UACGAAGGGGGCUAGCGUUGUUCGGAAUCACUGGGCGUAAAGGGCGCGUAGGCGGCUUUUCAAGUCGGGGGUGAAAGCCUGUGGCUCAACCACAGAAUUGCCUUCGAUACUGUUAGGCUUGAGACCGGAAGAGGUGAGUGGAACUGCGAGUGUAGAGGUGAAAUUCGUAGAUAUUCGCAAGAACACCAGUGGCGAAGGCGGCUCACUGGUCCGGUACUGACGCUGAGGUGCGAAAGCGUGGGGAGCAAACAGG